AUGAACGCUAGCGACAGGCCUAACACAUGCAAGUCGAGGGCAGCACAGGAGCAAUCUGAGGUGGCGACCGGCGCACGGGUGAGUAACACGUAUGCAACCUGCCUGUAAGCGGGGAAUAACCCGUUGAAAGACGGACUAAUACCGCAUAAUACUAAAUUACUGCAUGGUAAUUUAUUUAAACAUUUAUGGCUUACAGAUGGGCAUGCGCAUGAUUAGCUAGUUGGAGAGGUAACGGCUCCCCAAGGCAACGAUCAUUAGGGGUUCUGAGAGGAAGGUCCCCCCACACUGGUACUGAGACACGGACCAGACUCCUACGGGAGGCAGCAGUGAGGAAUAUUGGUCAAUGGACGAGAGUCUGAACCAGCCAAGUCGCGUGCAGGAAGAAUUGUCCUAUGGAUUGUAAACUGCUUUUGCAGGGGAAUAAAGUGCAUCACGUGUGAUGUUUUGUAUGUACUCUGCGAAUAAGGAUCGGCUAACUCCGUGCCAGCCGCCGC
rnacentral:rRNA from 1 species